CCGGAAGUGGCGCUGUGGAGAGAGAGUGCCUGCGGGUGGAGAAAGGUCCAGUCGGGUGGAAAGCACCGAGGGCCCCAGGUGCAAUGAGGAGGAAGAAAGAAGGUCCUAAUAUUUAAACGCCUGAAAAACAAGUGGUUAUUGUUUUUCUUGGGAAAUGGAAGGCCUGGAAAGCGGAACUUGGGUUCAGUGGGCCGGGCAAUAGCAAUAAGGCGGCAGUAAAUUGCAACCAAAGUCAAGAAACUCAAGCUCCUAAUUUCGGGAAAAUAUACACUGGGUUUAAAGGAAUAGCAUAGGACAUGCUGCCUAAUUUUUGACCAGUAUCUCUUAUUUUUGGUAACCUCUGAAGAAAACACCUACUACUUCGUUUUGAAAAUAGACUUUCCUUGUGAAGCUAUUAAAAUGCUCACUCACGGACACUGAAUAAAAUUCCAUUCUAUGGAUGUACCACAGUUUGUCCAUUCACCUAUUUGACGGACAUCUUGGUUGAUUCCAAGUUUGGACAAUUAUAAAUAAAGCUGCUAUAAAUAUCCACGUGCAGGUUUUUGUAUGGACAUAAAUUUUCAUCUCAUUUGGGUAAAUACCAAGGAGCGCAACUGCUGAAUCUUAAGAAACACAAGGGAAUCUUUCUCUGGUAUUCACUGUGAGGACCUAGUAAAGGUCCUAGAAAUAAAACUCACAAAAAUAUGGGGAACUCCCUCUGCCUGGGUCCCCCUGGAGUUUUUAACUCUCAG
rnacentral:lncRNA from 1 species